GGGAGGUGGGUGUGUGAGUUCUGGGCUGGGGCUUUCAUUUCCCUGAUUGGCUCUAAGCAUAUAGAUCACCUGACCUGCUAAGGACUCUGAGCAGUCAGAGUAUACUAUCAGUAGUGCUAGUCUACUGUACUGUGUGUUGGUCUGAAUUAAGCAUGAUGAUCUUGGGGUAUUGGGAAGUCAGAGGGGUGAGUGGACCUGCGCAUGCUGGUAAUGGCGGCUGUGUGUGACCAGGACAUAUACUGAUUGCUUGCUUGCUUUUACUUUUUGCAGCUGGUUCAUUCUAUCCGCCUCCUGCUGGAGUACACCGAGACCCCAUUUGAAGACAAGCACUAUGUGGUGGGAGAUGGUGAGUGUCUGGACACAGGAAGAACUAGGGCAGGUUUGGAGGGGUGCAGAGUUAAUGCAUGUCUGUCUAUGUCUGAGGGGAAUGCUAGCUGUGAAGGGAGGGGUGAUGUCAUUCAUUGUGUC